rnacentral:rRNA from 1 species
UUAAAUUGAAGAGUUUGAUCAUGGCUCAGAUUGAACGCUGGCGGCAGGCCUAACACAUGCAAGUCGAACGGUAACAGAAAGAAGCUUGCUUCUUUGCUGACGAGUGGCGGACGGGUGAGUAAUGUCUGGGAAACUGCCUGAUGGAGG